rnacentral:lncRNA from 1 species
AAAAGAUUUUUUAAAAAUUUUAUUUAUUCAUUCAUGAGACAGAGAGAGAGAGAGAGAGAGGCAGAGGGAGAAGCAGGCUCCAUGCAGGAAACCUGAUGGGACUCAAUCCCAGGACUCCAGGAUCAUGCCCUGAGCUGAAGGCAGGGGCUAAACCGCUGAGCAACCCAGGCAUCCCUGUUUAAAAUUUUGUAAUGGAUAGUCUCUAUUUAAUUAUUGUAAGCAUUCUUUAUUUAAAGUUUCCUUUUUAUUUAAGCAUGUUUAUAUUAUCUGAAGUCUUUGUCUGCAAGGUCUACCAUGUGGGCCCUCACACAGUUUCUGUGGACCACUUUUCUUCCUGUGCAUGGGCUCUACUUCCCUAUUUCUUUACAUGUCUUUAUUUUGUUGUUGAAAAUUUGACAUUUUAGGAACUGGAGUGUAUUAUGCUGAGUGAAGUAAGUCAAUUGGAGAAGGACAAACACUAUAUGGUCUCAUUCAUUUGGCGAAUAUAAAAAAUAGUGAAAGGGAAUAAAGGGGAAAGGAGAGAAAAUGAGUGAAAAUAUCAGUGAGGGUGACAGAACAUGAGACACACCUAACUCUGGGAAACGAACAAGGGGUGGUGGAAAGGGAGGUGGGAGGAAGGUUGGGGUGACUGGGUGAUGGGCACUGAGGUGGGCACUUGACGGGAUGAGCACUGGGUGUUAUGCUAUAUGUUGGCAAAUUGAACUCCAAUAAAAAAAAAUAAAAAGAAAAAUUGACAUUUUAGAUAAUAUAUCGUAGCACCUCUCUAUUCUGGAUUCACUACCCAUCUCAGGGGGUGUUGUUACGUUUGUUUGUUAUUUGUUUAGUGACUUGCCUGGACAAAUUUUAUAGAGGAGAUUCCUCUAUAGUAUGCAGCUGCUUAUGUCUCUGUUGUUUUAAAAAAAUAUAUUCUUGUUUUAGCUUUUAAGCCAGCUUCCUGGGAAUCACCUGUGGAUUAAUACAACUUAAUGGUCAGCCAGUGACUGGACAGGAAUUGCACUUAAAUACUUGGAGUUUUUUGUUCUUAGCUGGUGUUUUGAUAUAUAGUUUAGGGACUGCAUUCGAAGUUUAUACAGUCUGUAAGAGAGCCCCAACUUUUACCUUCUGAUUAAACAGGCCUCAUAUUAAUUAAACAAGCUAUGAGUAGACAGGGUUCUCUCUGAUUUCUUUUGAACAUGUGUGUAGCCUUAAGCAAGCCUACUAGCUGCCAAACCACUAGGGAUAUGUAUGAGAUUUCCAAGGACCACUAUGCCUCCUGCAUCCCAGAUGGCCAUAUGUUUCUAGCUGGUCUGUUAGUAUGUUGCUUGCACCAACCAGUGGGCAGCACUGCCUGGCCUUCCUGGAUGUUUGCUAUUGUUCCUGGACUUUCCUACUGUUUUGAAAAAACUCUUCAGCAUGAGUUUUCCCAUAUUCCAAAAAUCAAAUCAGCUCCCUCUAGCAGCAAGGCUGCUGGUCCUUUGGUCUACCACACCUUGGUAGAACUACUAUAUCAUGGAACAGGAUGGAGAGAAUGAAAACAACCCUAAACCAGGCUCUGAAAGUUAGGGCAUCCCAGUUGUUCCUACUAAAGUUGAGUAGUUUUUCUUGAGGAAAUACUACUUAUUGUAUAUCUUUUUUUCAAUUUCUAGAAUUCCCAAAUGGUUGUUUUGAAAAUGUUUCGCUUUACUGCUUCUUUUUGGUGAAAUGAUUUGCUGAACUUCUCACUUUGCCAUUCUAGAAGUCCCACCAUAUUUAGCAAUUCAGUAGUUUUUUUAAAGUUGCUAAAGGCACCAAAAUUGAUAUGUCAAAACCAAGUAUAUGCUUUAUAACACCUCUUUCUAAAAAUCCCACGUAUAUAAUAAUAAAGAGCCCAAAGAGAAUGAAAGUUUAACAGUAUUGAGGAUGGAAAAGGAAUUUCCACUUGUCAGUGGACCAGAAAUUCCGACAAGUAGAAAGCUGAUGGGGUCAUGUUGAGAGAUAAACCAAAACUGAGAACAGACACUAGAGUUAUGAUACUUGAAAAGGGAAGAAUGGACAACACACAGAAGUCAUAAUUCAUCUUGGCAGCAACUGUGAAAACACCUUGUGUAAUGGACUGAAGUUUUAAGUCCUCUCCCAAAUUCGUCUGUUGAUGUGGUUGUAUAGGAGAUAGGGCUUUGGCCACGAGAAUAGAGCCCUAAUGAGGGAGAGUAGUGUUCUUAUGAAAGAUAAUGCAAAGUGCUGUCUUCUCCUUUCUGCCAUGUGAGUACACAACAAGAAAAUAGCCAUCUAUGAACCAAGAAGAGGGUUCUCACCAGACACUAAAAACUGCUGGGGCUUCCUGAUCUUGGACUUCCAGCCUCCAGAACUGUGAGAAAUAAAUUUCUGUUGUUUAUAAGCUACCCAGUCUAAGGUAUUCUGUUAUAGCAGCCUGAACUAAGAUACUUUAUUGGAUCUUGAUUCUACUCCAUGGGAGAAAAAUCCUUUCCUCUAGUCCUCUGGGGUCCUGGCUUUGCCUUCUGAAAUAAAUUUUCCUUAUCUAUUAUCCUCUAGGCCACAUCUGAAGUUGGCUUUGGAAAGUGGGCCUCUUUGGAGGUUGUACAAACUUCACAGCCUGCUUUCUGAUGAUGCAAGUCUGGGGGCCUGGUGGUUGUUUUAGAGAUUGAAAACUUACAGGCAUUUUCAGGCCAGGCUUGUGGUUUUGUUGAGAAUUCAAUUCCAUCAAAAUUUAGUAAGCUUUCAGUCUAUUUACUACCAGUUGGUUCCAUGUCAAAAUCUCUUCUGGUGUAAGUUCUUAAGCCUGCCAAGUCUCUUAUUUUAUUUUUUCACUUCUAUACAUAGCACAUUUCCCUGUUAUUUUAAUGGUGGCUAUUGUAAGAUUAUAUAAAACUAUAGGCUAGAUUAGGAAAGCAAUUCCUCUACUUUGACCUUUGUUACAGGGCCAUUACUAUCCAGAUGAAUCAUCUUAAAGAGAAACUUUUGAAAGGGCACUGACCAAAGCACUGCUUGGUGGAGCAUAGUUGCAGUUAACUUUCACAACUCUGAGGGUCCAAAUUAUCAGAUUUUAUAUUUAAUUUUUAUUGCAAGCCACAGUCAGAGAAUGUAAUGCCCUUAACUUCCAUUUCUAUUUGUACACAAGUUAAUUCUUGCCUGAUAGAUCUCUCAUGGUACCUAGCUAAAAGCAACAAGGACCAACAAUGCAUAAACACACUGAAAUUCUUCCUACCUACCCACCCCUUUUCCCUUUAUGGACCACUUAUUUUAGAAAUCUAUGGCACAGCAGGCACAUGAUCUGCCUUCCAAGUUACCAGAAGUAACAGCUUGGGGUGGGGCACUGGGUGGCUCAGCUGAGUGCCUGCCUUUCACUGGGUUGUCCUGGGACUGAUCCCAGCACUGGGCUCCCUGUUCAGCUGGGGUGGGAGGGGGGACUGCUUCUGCCCCUCCCUGCUGCUUGUGUGCUCACCUGCUCACGAGUGCUGUCUUUCAAAUAAAUAAAAUGUUAAAAAAAAAGUUACAGCCUCACCAAAUAUUUCACUAUGAUAUUACAAAAGUCACUGGCUGUCUUACCUUCAGUUAUCUUUCCUUGUGCCCAAUGACUGAUAGCUUAAUGGACUUCACAUUUUAGGUUUUUGUUAUGGCAGUACCCUACUAGUAGCAAUUUUUAUAUUAUUUAACAUCGAGAAUAAGCUGCUAUUUUAAAAAGGCACAAAAAAUUAAGUGACUCAAACAAGACAGGGAUUUUUCUCUCUUGUAACAGUUCAGAGUGAGACAUCUCUCCUUCCUGAGGUCAUCCAGAGACCC